AAGAGCUCCUAAACUGAUGUUGAGGCAUGAUACUUUCAGACAGGCGUAGUCUGUAAAUUUGUGUCUGAAAAGGUGCAAUCUCCGUAUUUUGAUCUGAGACGCAGCCAAUGAGGUGAUUUCCAACAGCCGACAGUCAAGGGCAAAACUUUGUGUCUGCAAAGCUGCAAACUCUUAGACGCUGCAGCGCUCCAAACUCCGUAUUAUGCCUGCUAAUGAGCUAAUUGCCAACAGCCGAGAGGAGAAGGUCUGCUGCAAACUCUUGUGAGACGCAGCGCUCCAAACUCCGUAUUGUGCCUGCUAAUGAGCUAAUUGUCAACAGCCGACAGGAGAAAGGUCUGAAGCGAAGCAGUAUGGAAAAUUGGUGUUAUUAAACCCCAGCAGUGGUUCUUAAUUUGACUGGGGCCCACAACAGCGGUGAAUUAUUCAGAAAAAUGGUUUUAAAGGGUUUGUCCUCUUCAGUAUUACAGCUGAUUGUGAUUAUGCUCACUGGGACAAAACAUUUGGUACAUAAUUUUCCAAUGUGGCUCAGGAUGGGGAGAGGAAGAGUUAAUAAUAAUAAAAAAAGAAGGUAUUACAAGAUCUACUAUUUAAAUUGCCAUUACAGGGAACGAAACAGAAAGUGAGUAAAAUAAAAAGUGAACAUGCGAUGUUUCAGCAGUUGGAUGAGGUGUCACCUCAGUUUAAUUAACUCCAAGGAGGAGGCUUGCCUAUUGCCUCCUUUUCUCUAUUCUUUAUUUAUUUACAGGUCUGUUGGUUGCUGAACGUGGAAGCAGAUGGCUUGGUGGUCAGUGUGGCGUCGAGUAUUGAACCCAGGGCGUGAUGGAUGAGUGUUUGGAGCUGAUAUGGUGGACAUGUUAAAGCACCCAUCGACAUACAAUUGUGAUUGUCCUGGACAUUGAACACCUGUGGGCUGUUUCAUCCCACCAGCAGGUCAACCUGGUAGGAAGCAACCAAGUCCUGACAUGACCUCACCUCCUCAAGGUCAGUACCCCUGCAAGGGGAUAACUCGUCUGAUGACACACCCCUGAGCAUGGCCAGCUGCAUGAGCACUGCAGACUCCGAGCUGUCAGCGGAAAAGACUGCAUGAACUUUUGGUGGACACUGGAGACACAUAUGGGCCUCUGAGUUGUGGACUAAGACUGUCACUGAAUAUGAUACUGAGAGAAGAAACAGUGUCUGCCGUUGUGACCUGAGGGGGAGAAAGCAUUGCUAGCAUCUAUGGAGGACUGAGAACAGAGCCUGCUACAACUGGUGUUCUCUCCAGCUAUGGAAGAUGCAACGUCUGGGUUCCUGCUCUUCUUCCCACCUGACCCGCCACACGUCACUCUGUUCUACGACAGCAACCGCACAGACUGGUAUCAUGAUUCUUUAAGCACCAGAAAGAAGUAGGGGCGUGGUUAAACAUUCCCUUCAGGCAACUGAUUGGGCUCCUACCAGCGUGCAGGAUGCACUCUCUGACUGGAAGGAGUUUUUCGGGGUUGCGACGUCAACCUCCCAGGAUUCACAGGUAGCACACGAAAUUUGACAUCUAAAGAUUGUUGUGUAGUUUCAGAUUAUAUUGGAGAUUCCUAAGGAAUGUGAAGGAGGGUCCACCAACCCCCAGACCUCGGCUGAGUGCGCUCUAAGGUCAACGAAGGACAGAAGUGGGGGUUGUGAUUUAGGGUGCUCUGACCAGAUUGCGGAGCCGUGAGGUCCCACCACAGGGUGCCAAAGAAAACACCGAGACCAGUGCAGAACCAGAGGGGGAACUCCAGAAAGUCAUCAAAAGAAAGUGGUCAGAACCAAGGUGGACCAGCCCGUACCAGAUGGUGGAACGCACUUCGCACGCAGUCAGGCUCAAAGGAAAAGGCGACACCUGGUAUCAUUGGAGUCAGUGUGCAGCCACUGAGGAACCCCAGCGCUCUCAAACAUCAGGUGCGCCAGGAUUUACAGGAUAACACCACAACGCUGUGAAAGGGAGCCUAUCGGUGAAUCCUCUACUCAACCACGGUCAUAAUAAAACCCGUAGAGAGAUUCAGUGAGCUUAAGCUCACUCACAAAAAUCACACAAAGGAGACAGAGCAGAAGAACAAAGAAGAAGAGGCGGAAGAAGUGGGCAGUGAGCUGCUCUCCUGCUCCAGAAAAAAA